UACGAAGGGAGCUAGCGUUGUUCGGAAUCACUGGGCGUAAAGCGCACGUAGGCGGAUUUGUCAGUCAGGGGUGAAAUCCCGGGGCUCAACCUCGGAACUGCCUUUGAUACUGGCGAGCUUGAGUCCGGGAGAGGUGAGUGGAACUGCGAGUGUAGAGGUGAAAUUCGUAGAUAUUCGCAAGAACACCAGUGGCGAAGGCGGCUCACUGGACCGGUACUGACGCUAAAGCGCGAAAGCGUGGGUAGCAAACAGG
rnacentral:rRNA from 1 species